AGCCCGCUUUCCGAACUGUCACCGUAUGGUGCGCGUGCCCGUGAGGGCUAGGACUGCGGGCAUAUU
rnacentral:ncRNA from 1 species